UUCCGGUUGAUCCUGCCGGAGGCCAUUGCUAUCGGAAUCCGAUUUAGCCAUGCUAGUCGCACGGGUCAGACCCGUGGCGAACAGCUCAGUAACACGUGGCCAAACUACCCUGUGGACGAGGAUAAUCUCGGGAAACUGAGGUCAAUCCUUGAUAGGGCUUCCAUCCUGGAGUGGAGGAAGUCCAAAAGUUGCUCUGCAGCACCACAGGAUGUGGCUGCGGCCGAUUAGGUAGACGGUGGGGUAACGGCCCACCGUGCCAGUAAUCGGUACGGGUGAUGAGAGUCAGAGCCCGGAGACGGUAUCUGAGACAAGAUACCGGGCCCUACGGGGCGCAGCAGGCGCGAAACCUUUACACUGCACGACAGUGCGAUAGGGGGAUUCCGAGUGCGAGGGCAUACAGUCCUCGCUUUUCUGGACCGUAAGGAG
rnacentral:rRNA from 1 species